UGCCGCGUGCAGGAUGAAGGCCUUCGGGUUGUAAACUGCUUUUGUACGGAACGAAAAGACUCUGGUUAAUACCUGGGGUCCAUGACGGUACCGUAAGAAUAAGCACCGGCUAACUACGUGCCAGCAGCCGCGGUAAUACGUAGGGUGCAAGCGUUAAUCGGAAUUACUGGGCGUAAAGCGUGCGCAGGCGGUUAUAUAAGACAGAUGUGAAAUCCCCGGGCUCAACCUGGGAACUGCAUUUGUGACUGUAUAGCUAGAGUACGGUAGAGGGGGAUGGAAUUCCGCGUGUAGCAGUGAAAUGCGUAGAUAUGCGGAGGAACACCGAUGGCGAAGGCAAUCCCCUGGACCUGUACUGACGCUCAUGCACGAAAGCGUGGGGAGCAAACAGGAUUAGAUACCCUGGUAGUCCACGCCCUAAACGAUGUCAACUGGUUGUUGGGUCUUCACUGACUCAGUAACGAAGCUAACG
rnacentral:rRNA from 1 species